AGCAAUACAUCAGCGGCGGACGGGUGAGUAACACGUGGGCAACCUGGCCUUAAGAGGGGGAUAACGUCCCGAAAGGGACGCUAAUACCGCGUAAAUCAACGAGAUCGCAUGAUUUUGUUGGAAAAGGAGCAAUCCGCUUAAGGAUGGGCCCGCGGCCUAUUAGCUAGUUGGUAGGGUAACGGCCUACCAAGGCGACGAUAGGUAGCCGACCUGAGAGGGUGAACGGCCACACUGGAACUGAGAAACGGUCCAGACUCCUACGGGAGGCAGCAGUAGGGAAUAUUCCGCAAUGGGCGAAAGCCUGACGGAGCAACGCCGCGUGAGUGAAGAAGGUUUUCGGAUCGUAAAGCUCUGUCAACAGGGACGAAACAAGACGGUACCUGAGAAGGAAGCCACGGCAAACUACGUGCCAGCAGCCGCGGUAAUACGUGGGUGGCAAGCGUUGUCCGGAAUAACUGGGCGUAAAGCGCAUGUAGACGGCAUGAUAAGCCAAAUGUGAAAUGUAGGGGCUCAACCCCUGCACUGCGAUUGGAACUGUCAAGCUUGAGUGCAGGAGAGGCAAAUGGAAUUCCCAGUGUAGCAGUGAAAUGCGUAGAGAUUGGGAGGAACACCAGUGGCGAAGGCGAUUUGCUGGACUGCAACUGACGUUGAGAUGCGAAAGCUAGGGGAGCAAACGGGAUUAGAUACCCCGGUAGUCCUAGCCGUAAACGAU
rnacentral:rRNA from 1 species